AGAGUUUGAUCAUGGCUCAGAACGAACGCUGGCGGCGUGCUUAACACAUGCAAGUCGAACGAGAAAUCCGGUCUUCGGACGGGAGAGUAAAGUGGCGCACGGGUGAGUAACGCGUAGGUAAUCUAUCCUUAUAUUUGGGAUAACUCUUCGAAAGGGGAGCUAAUACCGGAUACACUUUAUAGCUGCAGGGCGAUAAAGGAAAGGUGGCCUCUGAUAUAAGCUACCGUAUAGGGAGGAGCCUGCGUACCAUUAGCUGGUUGGUGGGGUAACGGCCUACCAAGGCAACGAUGGUUAGCGGGUCUGAGAGGAUGAUCCGUCACACUGGCACUGGAACACGGGCCAGACUCCUACGGGAGGCAGCAGUGAGGAAUAUUGCGCAAUGGGGGAAACCCUGACGCAGCGACGCCGCGUGAGUGAGGAAGGCCUUCGGGUCGUAAAGCUCUGUCAGAAGGGAAGAAGUGCACUAUGGUUAAUAGCCGUAGUGUUGACGGUACCUCAGAG
rnacentral:rRNA from 1 species